AGAGUUUGAUCAUGGCUCAGGACGAACGCUGGCAGCGUGCCUAAUACAUGCAAGUCGAACGCUUCUUUCCUAUCGAGUGCUUGCACUCACUUGGAAAGAGGAGUGGCGGACGGGUGAGUAACACGUGGGUAACCUGCCCAUCAGAGGGGGAUAACACUUGGAAACAGGUGCUAAUACCGCAUAACAGUCAACACCGCAUGGUGUUGGAUUGAAAGACGCUUUCGGGUGUCGCUGAUGGAUGGACCCGCGGUGCAUUAGCUAGUUGGUGAGGUAACGGCUCACCAAGGCCAUGAUGCAUAGCCGACCUGAGAGGGUGAUCGGCCACACUGGGACUGAGACACGGCCCAGACUCCUACGGGAGGCAGCAGUAGGGAAUCUUCGGCAAUGGACGAAAGUCUGACCGAGCAACGCCGCGUGAGUGAAGAAGGUUUUCGGAUCGUAAAACUCUGUUGUUAGAGAAGAACAAGUGGGAGAGUAACUGUUCCCGCCUUGACGGUAUCUAACCAGAAAGCCACGGCUAACUACGUGCCAGCAGCCGCGGUAAUACGUAGGUGGCAAGCGUUGUCCGGAUUUAUUGGGCGUAAAGCGAGCGCAGGCGGUUUCUUAAGUCUGAUGUGAAAGCCCCCGG
rnacentral:rRNA from 1 species